CCUCUUGCUUCUGAUCACUAGCUCAACACUAGCCCAAAAGUUCAGCUCCUUAGGGAGGGCUACUCCAUGCCUAGAGUCAGUGAUAAAGGUGGGGACCCUGCUUCCAUUUGGCCACUGUCACCUUGGACAAUACAUCAAGGAAAGGAAAGGAAAUGGUGUCAGCUAUGAUGGGGUGAAAUGGAGUUGAGGAAUGAAUAACAACUCAGAUCUCUCCACAGUUUCCCCUCACCCCCAACUCCUAGCAGGCAGCCACUAGGAAAAGGUGCCCCCAACACCUCUACCCAGCAUUAUUACAACCACGUUUCCUCAUCGCCACACCUCCUCACCAGAGCCAGACUGGAAGGAAUGGUGGGCCAGACAGCUCUGGAGACUAGAGUUCAAGUUCAAGUUCAGUUCUACCACUAUCAAAUGAUACGAUCUUGGGCAAAGUAAAAGCUCUUGGGACCUCA